UACGUAGGGUGCGAGCGUUGUCCGGAAUUAUUGGGCGUAAAGAGCUCGUAGGCGGUUUGUUGCGUCGGCUGUGAAAACCUGCGGCUUAACUGUGGGCUUGCAGUCGAUACGGGCAGACUUGAGUUCGGCAGGGGAGACUGGAAUUCCUGGUGUAGCGGUGAAAUGCGCAGAUAUCAGGAGGAACACCGGUGGCGAAGGCGACGCCUGGACCGGCAUUGACGCCUGAGGCGCGAAAGCCAGGGGAACGAAACGGG
rnacentral:rRNA from 1 species